GAUGAAGAACGCAGCGAAAUGCGAUAAGUAAUGUGAAUUGCAGAAUUCCGUGAAUCAUCGAAUCUUUGAACGCACAUUGCGCCCCCUGGUAUUCCGGGGGGCAUGCCUGUCCGAGCGUCAUUGCAACCUUCAAGCGCGGCUUGUGUGUUGGGUCUCGUCCCCCGUGGACGGGCCCGAAAGGCAGUGGCGGCGUCCCGACAUGGUGCCCGAGCGUAUGGGAAUCCUCUUCCGCUCGAAUCGGCCCAUGCGGCGCUGGUCGGAACCAAAUUUUUUACCGGUUGACCUCGGAUCAGGUAGGGAUACCCGCUGAACUUAAGCAUAUCAAUAAGCGGAGGA
rnacentral:misc_RNA from 1 species